rnacentral:rRNA from 1 species
UACGUAGGGUGCAAGCGUUGUCCGGAAUUAUUGGGCGUAAAGAGCUCGUAGGCGGUCUGUCGCGUCGGCUGUGAAAACUCGGGGCUCAACUCCGAGCUUGCAGUCGAUACGGGCGAGCUAGAAUUCGGUAGGGGAGACUGGAAUUCCUGGUGUAGCGGUGAAAUGCGCAGAUAUCAGGAGGAACACCGGUGGCGAAGGCGGGUCUCUGGGCCGAUAUUGACGCUGAGGAGCGAAAGCGUGGGGAGCGAACAGG